CGUUAUAGUUUUAAAAAUAUUAAUAAACAGCAAAUCAACACAGAAAGACCUAAAUAAUAAUAAUACAUAAUUAAUAAACAGCGCCGCCCCUCCCACUACGCGCAUCACGCGCUGUGCGUCAACCCCAAAGCGUCAAAAACUGAAGCGUGGUCAAGCGCCUCUAGCGUCACUGACAUGAGAUGUUUAUCGCUUUGAAAUCACGUUCAAGAAGUCUCAUUCAGCACACAUCGCGAUACUUUCCAUCAGUUUGCAAGAGCCGCAGGUUGGGUGAGUUAUACAGUCUAUGGUGAGUAGUAGUAAAUAUGCUCUUUUAAUGCCUGUCCUAAAACGUAUUCUGUCUUCUUUAUUAAUCAGAUGAGCGCCUUAUGUUUAUGUAUUACAUCGGUCAUCCGAGGCUGUCUUUGAGUUUCAUUGUGUUUAACUAAAUGAACACAGCUGCUAACUGGUUAAACUCUAUCGGUCACGUGACGUGACGUGCCACAGACCUGGGAUCCGUUUUAUAUUCAUUUCAGGUUCAAAGAUCUGAAAAGACGUAAAGUAAGCAGUCACCCCAGUGGUGUUUGUGGAGAGGUAUUCCUUCAGAAAUGGAGAAGACAGAAAGCUGCAGAGGCAGGAUUGUUUGCAGAUAAUGCUGUUCUUCUUUUUCAGAAGUUUUUGGGGAGCCAACCCUCACAAACCUUCCUAAAAACUAAAAGAGCUAUUACUGAGUCUCAGCGACUCUUGCCACGAUCAGCUCUUCCCAGAAGAGAAGGAAGACCAAGGAAAUGAUUUGCUCAGGAUGAGGAAUGAAGAUGGUCAUCUUGUGCUCAAGCAAACAGAAGUCCUCUGAUGAUCUCAUCAACCAAAUGAGGGGUUUUGACCAAGUGAUGCUCUUGAAAGGAGUGAAAGAAGAGGAUGUGGUAAAUUGUCUUCAGAGAAAAAGCUUCUCAAAAGAUCUUAAAACAGCUUGAAUAAUGGUCUGGGAUCUUAGGACUGGGAGAUCUCACUUGCACCCAGUUAACCUCCAUAGAGAACAUUUAUCAGAAGCGCUGUCUGGGCAGGGCAAGAAACAUCAUCAAGGAUGGCUCUCACCCUAACCAUGGACCUUUCACCCUCCUUCCAUCCGGCAGGCAUUACAGGAGCCUACGCUCUCGAACUAGUAGACUCAGGAAGAGCUUCUUCCCCGAGGCUGUGACACUCCUGAACACCGCACCACCUAUCUAACCUGCACCUGCACUGGUCACAGUACUUUACAUACAUGUAUUGCACUACUCAUAUUUUGCACAGACUGCACAUGGUUAAAUCCAUUACACUAUAAACUGUCUAAAGCUGUUACUGUACAAGCACAGUAAACUAUUUCUACAAUAAAUAUAAUUGCACUACUAUUAUUUUGCAUAUAAUAAAUUGUUAAACUAUACUUUUGCACACUCAUUCAACUGUAUUUAUUACCACUGUUCUCAAGUUCCUGCUAUUCAUAAUGUAUAUAUAAUUCUUCUUUGCUCUGUUCAUAAUGUACAUACAAUCCCUACAUUACAUUCAUAUUUAUACUCUGUGUAUACUCUGAUCAAUAUUGUAUAUAGCAACUCCACUGUAAAUUCUGUAUAUCAUAGCUUUACUUACUCUGCACUUUUAUGUAUAUAAAACACUAUAUUCUGGGACUUCUGGUUAGAUGCUAACUGCAUUUCAUUAGCUCUGUACUUGUACUCUGCAUAAUGACAAUAAAGUUGAAUCUAAUCUAAUCUAAUCUAAUAUUCUGGCUGAGAACAAGCUACACCACAUCAGUGCUGGAUAUCAACCAAAAGCUGUUUCCAGACACGAGAGAAGAUCACGAUGAAACCAGUUUAGAUGUGUUGAUAAGGAAUCAUUAUUUUCUGAAACAGUAUCAAAUGUCUUAUAUGUAUCACAUGAUCUGUAUCACAGUUGACUGGAUGGGACUGUGACUUUUAAGGACAUUUCAUCACUCAUCUGUGUGAACUGAUUAAUAUAUGAGGUUAAUGUAUUUUUGAUUAUGAAUAAUUAUUUUCCUUGAAUCUUAUUUGUCUUGAUGCUACUUUAUCAUCUUUAUAGUCUAUGCUUCAAUAAAAUGAAUAUGACGAA